CGGGCAUAGCAAUAUGUCAGCGGCAGACGGGUGAGUAACGCGUGGGAACGUACCUUUUGGUUCGGAACAACUGAGGGAAACUUCAGCUAAUACCGGAUAAGCCCUUACGGGGAAAGAUUUAUCGCCGAAAGAUCGGCCCGCGUCUGAUUAGCUAGUUGGUGAGGUAAUGGCUCACCAAGGCGACGAUCAGUAGCUGGUCUGAGAGGAUGAUCAGCCACAUUGGGACUGAGACACGGCCCAAACUCCUACGGGAGGCAGCAGUGGGGAAUAUUGGACAAUGGGCGCAAGCCUGAUCCAGCCAUGCCGCGUGAGUGAUGAAGGCCCUAGGGUUGUAAAGCUCUUUUGUGCGGGAAGAUAAUGACGGUACCGCAAGAAUAAGCCCCGGCUAACUUCGUGCCAGCAGCCGCGGUAAUACGAAGGGGGCUAGCGUUGCUCGGAAUCACUGGGCGUAAAGGGUGCGUAGGCGGGUCUUUAAGUCAGGGGUGAAAUCCUGGAGCUCAACUCCAGAACUGCCUUUGAUACUGAAGAUCUUGAGUUCGGGAGAGGU
rnacentral:rRNA from 1 species